CCUUUUGAAUGCUAUAUUAAACUAGAGUAGAUAUUCUUAUGAAUUUCAAAAUAGGGCAGGAGGAAAAAGAAA
rfam:Clostridium difficile 630 complete genome